AGAUCAUUCAAUUUCAAACCUCCUCGAAACUAAACCAACAUUCAAAACCACGUGCUCCCUAAUAAAAUUUAUACCCGGUCCGAAUUAAUUAAACCUGACCCGACGGGAAUAACCUUAUAAAUAUUCCCAUGCAAAAAAAAAAAAACAAACAACUCCAAACACUCUUCAUCAAAAUUAUUAUUAUUUUAUGAUUUAAUUUGUUUUGUAAUGCAAAUAAAUUAAGUCCUAUAUGAACUGCAAGUAAUAUUUAUAGUGCUUUCUUGUUCUGGGAUUAAAAAGUUAAAUGUUAAAUAAAUACAUCACUAUUUUCCAUUUUAAAUGAAUUGGAUUUAUUUUACACAUUCAAAGUUAAUAGCGUGUCCAUUCAUAGAUAUAUUUUUUUUUAAUUCAAGAAGUUUUGGAAUUCAAAACUGACACCUGCACCCUAAGAGUAGAAAGUUUUAUCAGUAUAGCUACCAACUCCGGCUAAGUGUUAUAUUUUUCUUCAAAUAUCUUAGCAAUAAAAGAAAAAAAUAAAAAAAAAAUAAAGGAAAGAAACCCAACUGUUCAUCAAACAAGAUUUUGAGAUACCCAUUAUAAUUUUUGUGCCACAUGUUUAGUUACAAGUGGUUUUAUUCUUUAAAACUGAUAAAACAUAAUCAACCACAAAACGCUUUAUAAAUAAGCCCAUGCAACACAC
rnacentral:lncRNA from 1 species